rnacentral:snRNA from 1 species
AGCUUUGCGCAGUGGCAGUAUCAUAGCCAAUGAGGUUUAUCCGAAGCAUGAUUAUUGCUAAUUGAAUCUCUGCUGUUGUGAGGAAGAGAAGUCAAUGUAGGGCUUCUGUAGUCUCACAGAGCCCCCCUUCAAUCACAUUGCAUUUGCA